CAGUAGUGAUUUAGCAUCUUUUUUCCUUCCUACUCUGUCUCUUCAUAGGGUCCAUAGUAGAGAAUAAAGAAUUCAGCUUAUUCAACUGUUUAAUAAGAAGUGCCAGGAGGGUUCUGCAGAUGUAGACUGCCUGCAGCUUUGACAGAUGAAAUCUAGACAGAAGUUUUCCUUUGCUGGCAAAUUUCUGUGUAGCAUGCAUAGACAUUCAUCAUUCUUCUGAAAACCUUAAAAUUGCUUUCAAGUGUGGUCCUCAAUCUGAUCAUCCCAUUGUGUAGUUGGCUGGUCUGGUGUCUCUGCAGAGCUCGUGGCCUCCAUUUCCUUUUCUGGUACAAGCAGACCUGCUGCUUCUAACACUACCCUUCCUGUACUUCUCACUUCAUUGGUUUCAAUUUUGGGUGGAAG